AGUGAACGCUGGCGGCAGGCCUAAUACAUGCAAGUCGAACGGCAGCACAGUGGAGCUUGCUCCAUGGGUGGCGAGUGGCGGACGGGUGAGGAAUACAUGGGAAUCUGCCCAGUCGUGGGGGAUAACGUAUGGAAACGUACGCUUAAUACCGCAUGCGCCCUUCGGGGGAAAGUCGGGGACCGCAAGGCCUGACGCGAUUGGAUGAGCCCAUGUUCGAUUAGCUAGUUGGCGGGUAACGCCCACCAAGGCGACGAUCGAUAGCUGGUCUGAGAGGAUGAUCAGCCACACUGGAACUGAGACACGGUCCAGACUCCUACGGGAGGCAGCAGUAGGGAAUAUUGGACAAUGGGCGCAAGCCUGAUCCAGCCAUCCCGCGUGAAGGAAGAAUGCGCUAUGCGUUGUAAACUUCUUUUUCAGGGGGAUAAAAUUCUGUAUGUAUACAGGACUGAAGGUACCCUGAGAAUAAGCAUCGGCUAACUCCGUG
rnacentral:rRNA from 1 species